rnacentral:tRNA from 1 species
ACAAAGAAAGCUAUACUUAAGCAAUAUGGUUUCGACCCAUAACAAGAACUCAAUUCUCUUUGUU